CGUUGGGACUCUGAGCUC
rnacentral:miRNA from 1 species